rnacentral:lncRNA from 1 species
AACUCUCGGGGCGCUCCCUAGCCCUGGGUGGGUGGAGCGGGGGAAGCGGAGUACGUUGGACCCGGCUCCGCCCUACCCCACGGGGCCGCCUGGAGAGGUGCUGGGAGCUGGGUGGAGCUUAGAGGAAUUAAACUUUGGCCCUGCGCCUCGUCCAGCCUAGGUUCCACCCUUUUCUGGGAACGGUCUUACUCUGUGACCCACGCUGGAGUGCAAUGGCACCAUCACGACUUACUGAAGCCUCCACUUCCCGGGCUCAAGUGAUUCUCACACCUCAGCCUCCUGAGUAGCUGAGACCACAGUUUACACCCCGCCACUCCUGAGCACCGCACACCGGCUUCCUCCCAGUCCCUCAUCUGAGAACUCAUGAAGCCACUUGGAAUCCCUCUCUGCUUUGCCUGGCUCAUUCCAUGUCAAUUUCAGAUCUUCACUUCAGGUCAGCUCCAAGGAGGCUAUCCUUGCCCAUCUUCCUAAAAUAGAGCUCUCAAAACCUGGCUGUUUUCCUUCAGAGCACUGGCCUCCAAUUGCUCCGGUAGAUUGCAAAUGACCUGCUUUCUUUCUGUUCCCGGGCGUUUGGACCCCUGUCUUGGACC